GAUGAACGCUGGCGGCGUGCCUAACACAUGCAAGUCGAACGGAGCUGUUUUGAUGAAGUUUUCGGAUGGAUUUAAAACAGCUUAGUGGCGGACGGGUGAGUAACGCGUGGGUAACCUGCCUCACACUGGGGGAUAACAGUUAGAAAUAGCUGCUAAUACCGCAUAAGCGCACGGUUCCGCAUGGAACAGUGUGAAAAACUCCGGUGGUGUGAGAUGGACCCGCGUCUGAUUAGCCAGUUGGCGGGGUAACGGCCCACCAAAGCGACGAUCAGUAGCCGGCCUGAGAGGGUGAACGGCCACAUUGGGACUGAGACACGGCCCAAACUCCUACGGGAGGCAGCAGUGGGGAAUAUUGCACAAUGGGGGAAACCCUGAUGCAGCGACGCCGCGUGAGUGAAGAAGUAUUUCGGUAUGUAAAGCUCUAUCAGCAGGGAAGAAAGUGACGGUA
rnacentral:rRNA from 1 species